CCGUCAAUUCCUUUGAGUUUUAGUCUUGCGACCGUACUUCCCAGGCGGAGCACUUAACGCGUUUGCUACGGCACAGAAGGUAUUACACCUCCCACACCUAGUGCUCACCGUUUACAGCGUGGACUACCAGGGUAUCUAAUCCUGUUUGCUCCCCACGCUUUCGCGCCUCAGCGUCAGUAUCAGACCAGGAAACCGCCUUCGCCACUGGUGUUCCUCCCGAUAUCUACGAAUUUCACCUCUACACCGGGAAUUCCGUUUCCCUCUUCUGUACUCGAGUCAUGCAGUUUCAGAUGCAGUUCCCCGGUUAAGCCGGGGGAUUUCACAACUGACUUGCACAACCGCCUGCGCGCCCUUUACGCCCAGUAAUUCCGAACAACGCUUGCACCCUCCGUAUUACCGCGGCUGCUGGCACGGAGUUAGCCGGUGCMUCUUCCUGCGGUACCGUCAAAUCCCGCGAGUAUUAGUCGCGAGACUGUUCGUUCCGCACGAAAGGGCUUUACAACCCGAAGGCCUUCMUCACCCACGCGGCGUCGCUGG
rnacentral:rRNA from 1 species